rnacentral:rRNA from 1 species
AACGAACGCUGGCGGCAGGCUUAACACAUGCAAGUCGAGCGCCCCGCAAGGGGAGCGGCAGACGGGUGAGUAACGCGUGGGAAUCUACCCAUCUCUACGGAAUAACGCAUGGAAACGUGUGCUAAUACCGUAUACGUCCUUCGGGAGAAAGAUUUAUCGGAGAUGGAUGAGCCCGCGUUGGAUUAGCUAGUUGGUGGGGGAAAGGCCUACCAAGGCGAAGAUCCAUAGCUGGUGUGAGAGGCUGAUAAGGCACAACUGGAGCUGGACGCCGUCCCAGAGUCAUACGGGAGUCAGCAGUGGGGAAUAUGCGACAAUGGGCGCAAGCCUGAUCCAGCCAUGCCGCGUGAGUGAUGAAGGCCCUAGGGUUGUAAAGCUCUUUCACCGGUGAAGAUAAUGACGGUAACCGGAGAAGAAGCCCCGGCUAACUUCGUGCCAGCAGCCGCCGUAACAC